rnacentral:rRNA from 1 species
CCUACGGGAGGCAGCAGUGAGGAAUAUUGGUCAAUGGACGAGAGUCUGAACCAGCCAAGUAGCGUGAAGGAUGACUGCCCUAUGGGUUGUAAACUUCUUUUAUAUGGGAAUAAAAUGUUCCAUGUGUGGUAUUUUGUAUGUACCAUAUUAAUAAGGAUCGGCUAACUCCGUGCCAGCAGCCGCGGUAAUACGGAGGAUGCGAGCGUUAUCCGGAUUUAUUGGGUGUAAAGGGAGCGUAGGUGGAUUGUUAAGUCAGUUGUGAAAGUUUGCGGCUCAACCGUAAAAUUGCAGUUGAAACUGGCAGUCUUGAGUACAGUAGAGGUGAGCGGAAUUCGUGGUGUAGCGGUGAAAUGCUUAGAUAUCACGAAGAACUCCGAUUGCGAAGGCAGCUCACUGGACUGCAACUGACACUGAGGCUCGAAAGUGUGGGUAUCAAACAGGAUUAGAUACCCUAGUAGUC